AGAACGAACGCUGGCGGCAUGCCUAAUACAUGCAAGUCGAACGAAGGCUUCGGCCUUAGUGGCGCACGGGUGCGUAACGCGUGGGAAUCUGCCCCUUGGUUCGGAAUAACAGUUGGAAACGACUGCUAAUACCGGAUGAUGACGAAAGUCCAAAGAUUUAUCGCCAAGGGAUGAGCCCGCGUAGGAUUAGCUAGUUGGUGAGGUAAAGGCUCACCAAGGCGACGAUCCUUAGCUGGUCUGAGAGGAUGAUCAGCCACACUGGGACUGAGACACGGCCCAGACUCCUACGGGAGCAGCAGUAGGGAAUAUGGACAAUGGGCGAAAGCCUGAUCCAGCAAUGCCGCGUGAGUGAUGAAGGCCUUAGGUAGUAAAGCUCUUCUAACCGAGAUGAUAAUGACAGAUCGGGAAGAAGUAACGCCCGGACUAACUCCGUGCCAGCAGCCGAC
rnacentral:rRNA from 1 species